AGAGAAUAACUAAAAGAGGGCAAAUGUAUAAAUAUUAGUUCAUCGAUUCACAAAGCAACUAAACUUUUUUCAUUAAUGAGUAGUUUCAAAUAUAAAGAUUAACUUGUUGUCUUAGACUUGAACUCUAACUGAGAGAAGAAAAAGGGGAGAUUUAGUAGCAUUAUACAAACUUAUGCACGGUAUUGACAAGAUAAAUAGUGUUUUUUUUAGAAAUGUUAUAACUAAAAGUGUUUCUCUAAAAUGAGUACUGAAACACUUUCAUGCCAACAAUAUCUGCCUUCUCUUCCUCUUCCAUCAUUGAAAGAUACAUGUGAACGUUAUUUAAAAUCAGUUCAACCUUUCCUGAAUGAAAAAGAGUUUGCUAAUACAAAAUCAGAGGUAGAGAAAUUUCAAAAUGGUGUUGGAAUAAUGUUGCAUGAAAAACUAAUUCAAAAAGCAAAAUCAAGCCGCAACUGGCUUCAAUUUUGGUGGGAUAAUUCUUACUUAGAGUACAGAGGGCCUCUUCCCUUCAUCAGCAAUACAGCUGGUCUACUUGAAUCAACAGAAUGGGAUCAGCCAAAAUUAGGCAGCCAACUGGAAAGAGGAGCUCUUUGGAUUCAUUUUGCAGCUGUUAAUCAUGUUGAAAUUAUAAGACAGUGUCUUCCCGUUGGAAAGUUUGGAAAUGGUAGCUUUCAAUGUAUGUUGCAGUAUUACAUGCAUUGUGUUGGACGAAUACCUGGGGAAAAAAAGGAUAUUCCAGUUUGCCACACCCAUGUUGUUCCAAAACCAGAUGGGUCGUACAAUGUAAUUUGCGAAGUGCGCCAUUUUGUUGUUUUAAUGAAAGGAAGAAUAUUUAAAUUACAAGUGCUUGAUGAUAGUAAAGUUCCAUAUACUCCGGCUGAAAUCUACAAUCAGCUUUUGAUCAUUGCUGGUAUAUGCAAAACGUCUGGAGAUGGCCUUUCUAUUGGCUCACUGACAUCAACUGAUCGUGAUUCUUGGUAUAAGGCAUAUACAAAUCUGUGUGAAUUGGAUAUUCAGAAUAGAACUAAUAUUUCUGUUAUCAAUGAAGCUGCAUGGGUAGUUGCAUUUGAUGAUGUAGAAACUUACACUAUCCAACAGGCUUUCGAAAAUUGUGCUUUAGGAGACUGUGUUAAUCGCUGGUUUGAUAAAAAGACCUGUAUAAUAACUGCUACUGGUAUCUUUGGAAUGAAUAAUGAUCACCUUUAUAUCGAUGGUUUUGUUGCUAUACAAGUAUACCAAAAUAUAUAUUUAAAAUGUAUAGAGCAAAAGUUUCAAUGGAAAAAUGGGAAAUUGCGAAAUGAUAUAGAAGUACCUUAUGAACUUCAGUUUGUUGUUGAUAAUCAUAUUCUUUCACUUGUUAAGGAAGCACAAGUAAAACAUAGAAACCUGAUGGCAUCGUUCUUAGUUAUUAACAGACCAAUCAGAGGGUAUGGUAAAUCAUUAUGCAAAUUGUUGAAGAUUAACCCUGAUCAUUUGGUUCAGAUUGCAAUACAACUUGGUUAUUACAGGUUGCAUAAAAAAUGUUGUGCUACCUACGAGUCAGCUAGUACAAGGAAGUUUUAUAGUGGAAGAACAGGCACUGUCAGGUCAUGCACCAACGAAACAUUGGCAUUUGCACGUUCUAUGAUGGAUCCCUCUAAAACUAAAGAAAAUUGCAAGCAACUGUUGAUAAAUGCUAUAAAAGCUCAUUCUUCUCUUAUGAAAGAUGCCAUGGAUGGACAAGGAAAUAUUUAUUGUUGUUUUAAUGAGUUAAAGCAAGCAAUCGAAAAGUCUAUUAAUUGGUGUAUGUCUACAAACAAAAGUUUUGUUCAAGUCUUUAGUUGUCGAUUAUUUAAUAUAUCAAUGAUAACUGGAAAAGCUUUGUUAAUGGGUAUGGAUGGAUAUAAAUUAACUAUAUCAAAAGAAACUUGAACUUCAAUGGGAUCUAUUUUCCAAUGUCUGGUUUCAUUAACAAAAUUAUUUGAAUUAAUAAGUCUAUUUUUGUUAUUGUUUACUGUUGGUUGAAUGAUAUUAACAAGGUAUUUUUAGGUUCCAUAUCGUGGUGUGUUGGUUGUUGAUACAACAGGACAUAUGGGACAUAGAUCGUCAUUUUUUUGGAUUAA
rnacentral:misc_RNA from 1 species